GAGCCUCUGCAUAUACAACCAAAAAACCAAUCAAAAGUCUCCCAAAUCGUAUUACACGCUCGCGGAUACACACUGCACAAAGCCAAAUACGAAAGAGAGGAGCUUAACCUUAACAGAGGGGUGAAGUGAAGGCAAUGGCGGCACCGGACAAAUCAUCCUCGCCCGAUCUCAUCAAGAAGAAGGUUUGGAGCCACGAGGUUGCCAUUGGAGAGCUCAAUACCCUCUCUUCUUCUCGAGCUGUCUAUCAGAAGAAUGGAAAUCUGUACUUCCGUACGAGUAUAGUGAAAGCAAAAGCAUUUGAAGAGAAACAACUCCAAAAGCUACAAAAGCAGUCCUCCCAUGGAUAGAAAGUAGUACCCUUCUUUAAUCUGCCAACUGACUAUAUCAUUCCAGUAAUGGUUGGUGAUCAUGGAUUUCUGGACAUCUGGGGUACAAUAUUACAUGUGUUGUGUAUGUUCGAAGAUUGAUGACACGUUCAUGUGGAAAAUGCUAUAGUAAGUUAAUGAUGAUAAUAUUGAUAUGUGAUUGAACUGAUUUCGUUCUAAGGGUAAACAAGGACCGAAAUAACCAUAUUUUAUUGUGCUCA